GUCUCUGUGGUACAAUGGAUAGCAUGUUAGACUUUUAAUUCAAAGGUUGUGGGUUCAAGUCCCACCAGAGUCA